rnacentral:rRNA from 1 species
AAGAUGGUUUUGCUAUCACUUAUAGAUGGACCCGCGCCGUAUUAGCUAGUUGGUAAGGUAACGGCUUACCAAGGCGACGAUACGUAGCCGACCUGAGAGGGUGAUCGGCCACACUGGAACUGAGACACGGUCCAGACUCCUACGGGAGGCAGCAGUAGGGAAUCUUCCGCAAUGGGCGAAAGCCUGACGGAGCAACGCCGCGUGAGUGAUGAAGGUCUUCGGAUCGUAAAACUCUGUUAUUAGGGAAGAACAUACGUGUAAGUAACUAUGCACGUCUUGACGGUACCUAAUCAGAAAGCCACGGCUAACUACGUGCCAGCAGCCGCGGUAAUACGUAGGUGGCAAGCGUUAUCCGGAAUUAUUGGGCGUAAAGCGCGCGUAGGCGGUUUUUUAAGUCUGAUGUGAAAGCCCACGGCUCAACCGUGGAGGGUCAUUGGAAACUGGAAAA